rnacentral:rRNA from 1 species
UACGUAGGGAGCAAGCGUUGUCCGGAAUCAUUGGGCGUAAAGCGCGCGUAGGUGGCCCCGUAAGUCCGCUGUGAAAGUCAAAGGCUCAACCUUUGAAAGCCGGUGGAUACUGUGGGACUAGAGUACGGAAGAGGCGAGUGGAAUUCCUGGUGUAGCGGUGGAAAUGCGCAGAUAUUAGGAGGAACACCAAUAGCGAAGGCAGCUCGCUGGGACGUUACUGACACUGAGGCGCGAAGCGUGGGGAGCGAACAG